UGAUCCCGUUGUUUAUAUUGU
ensembl:piRNA 21ur-3015 ncRNA